rnacentral:rRNA from 1 species
GACGAACGCUGGCGGCGUGCCUAGUACAUGCAAGUUGAGCGAUGAAGAUUGGUGCUUGCACCAAUUUGAAGAGCAGCGAACGGGUGAGUAACGCGUGGGGAAUCUGCCUUUGAGCGGGGGACAACAUUUGGAAACGAAUGCUAAUACCGCAUAACAACUUUAAACAUAAGUUUUAAGUUUGAAAGAUGCAAUUGCAUCACUCAAAGAUGAUCCCGCGUUGUAUUAGCUAGUUGGUGAGGUAAAGGCUCACCAAGGCGAUGAUACAUAGCCGACCUGAGAGGGUGAUCGGCCACAUUGGGACUGAGACACGGCCCAAACUCCUACGGGGAGCAGCCGUAGGGGAUCUUCGGCAAUGGACGAAAGUCUGACCGAACAACGCCGCGUGAGUGAAGAAGGUUUUCGGAUCGUAAAACUCUGUUGGUAGAGAAGAACGUUGGUGAGAGUGGAAAGCUCAUCAAGUGACGGUAACUACCCAGAAAGGGACGGCUAACUACGUG